UGGGCUUUGGACACCAAACAGACGAUCCUGAGAAUGGGAGCCCUUGGAGUUUGCACAUUAAAGAAGCCAAGGCUCAGAGAGCUCUUAAGUCUCUUAGGACUUGUCCAGAGUCACACAGUUAGUAAGUGUCUGAGGCCAGAUUUGAACUCAGGUUUUCUUGACUCCAGGAUCAGAACUUUAUACACUGCACCAUCUGUCUACAGAGAGGUAACCUGUAAUGGAAGCAUAAUGCCAAAUGAUUUCUGAAGUCCUUUGACAUAUUUAAGAAUGGGGGAAGAAGUAAGGGGACUGAUUUACAAGGUUUUGUCAAGCCAGAGACUGGCCAUUCAUUGGGUUGCAUUUCUGACUCAUCCGGACUUUCUCUAAAAUGCCCCAGAAACCUCUUUACCUUGGAAGCUCACUUUACCACUGGACUUCACAUAAUGGAAGUACCCUCUGCCCCUUUGGCCUCUCCCUUUGAUUACUGGAUUCUCCCCAAAUCUCCCUUUUAAAGAAGAUGCCUGGGCCAAGUCUUCAUUCCUCCAAAGGCUACAGACUCUCUAGGACUUCUAUAUGGUAAUGCCCCACCUUUUCAGUUUCCUUUUAAGUGCAAUCCCUCCUCAUU